AUGACGCGGCGGCCAGCCGAGGCUUCCGGGUCAUGUACCAAACCGGGGAAAGAUAAGGGACUCCAAGUCCCAGCCCGGGAGCGGUGAAACAGAGCGCGGCCAGAAGGGUCCGCGAAUCCCACAGCACGACGCACGCGCAGUGAAAGGCAGUAGAAGGCGGGGUGACGCACACGGCUUCCUGGGAGGUGUAGUUUUCUCUACGAGCGCCUUUCGAGAUCUACUGGAGGCUCGCGCAGGAGCCGUGAGCUGCCUAAGGCAGCCUUUUCAUUAACCAAACUUCUUGAAGCCACAUCUGCAGUAUCAGCUCAAGUGGAAGAACUUGCCUUCAAAUGUACAGAAAAUGCACGUUUCCUUAAAACGUGGCGGGACCUCUUGAAAGAAGGCUAUGAUUCUUUGAAGCCUGAUGACUGAUUUGGCAUACUUCGUUGUUUAAUAAUGACUGCAAUAAUUCAUACUUCUUAUGUCAUAUUUUGUACAUGUACCACACAUAUAGGAUGACCUCUGUCCAGCAGUUCUGUAUAUAUUCAGAAUGAAAUUUUUCUUGGUUUUCUUGGUUUUUGUGAAAGCAGAAUACUGAUGCUAUUUUUGUUGCGGACCAGUACUUGUUUGUCCUUAAAUACUUUAUGCCUCUGAACUUUCAUAGAAUCCUUUAUGAAAGUUAACUUCAUCAAUAGACAGUUAAUAUUAAUAGAGCCACAGUGCUACCAGUAGCAAACUAGGUAGACCAUUAUUUGUUUUGCAACAAGAUGCUAAGCAUGGCAGAGUUUGAAGUUGCGUUUCAUCUUAAGGACCAAGAGAGGUAACUUUAAGGUUGCCAGUGGUGGAUCCAGCUCCGUUAGGCUAAGUUGUCUACAGCUAAUGAUUGUGUCUUUAUUCUAUAUCCCCAGCACCUAAAACAGGGUCACACAACAUUCACUAAAUGUUUGUUGAAUAAAAGAGUUAACAAACAUAAUUGAAAGCUUUUUUUCUUCCUAUAUUUAGCAUGAAGACUGUCAUUGUUUCUCUAGGAAAUGUAUGAAUCUGAACUUUUUUGACUUGAAGAAAAACAUUCUUUUUUUACAGAGAUUUGGACUUUGAUGAUAGGUUUUAAAAAUAUAUG
rnacentral:sRNA from 1 species